UGAGAUUUAGGUCAUAUGACACUUUAGUUUUAUUGUAGGAGAGCUUAUUCAUCAUACAUUCCCAUAACAUCUACAAAUAUUUGAUACUGAUAAUCUAAAGAAGGGUUGUUUUAUUUCGUUAUUUUUUUUUUUUUUUUGGUAAAUUUCCAACAUGGUCUGCCAUUAUCUCAGGAGCAAAAAAUAUUUCAUUCUGUUUCUGGAAAAAAAAAAGAAAUGAUGCAUGUAGUUGUUUCUUUCCUUAUUCCUGUAAAUCUCAGGGGAAAACAUGAUGAAUUAUCAAAUUUAUUUAUUGCUUAAAAAUUUUAACAUUCAAAACUUUGUAUUGAGAUGCACAGGUUGUGUAAAGUUGAUGGGAAAAAUCCGUAUGGAACCGUUGUCAAAUUGAUUCAUCUAUCUAGUUCUCUCCCUUUCAUGCAUUUAAUUCCAGACCCGAAAUGCAUUCAUUUCAACUUUAAAUUCAUUGUUUAAUUCCAUUAGUUUUCCUCAUAUGGCAACUGUUUUCAUUUUAGUAGACCAUUUUGAUUAUUUUCUUUUCAAAUUUAAUACCAUAUAUAGGAAUGAGAUAUAGAAAACAAACUCAAAAUUAUUUGUAUGACUAAGAGUUUCGCUUUACUAGUCAACACUGUACCGUUUUGUCAAAGUUUUGAUUUUUUUGAUAGACAAAAUAAACUAUUUCAAACAG
rnacentral:misc_RNA from 1 species